rfam:Ailuropoda melanoleuca scaffold250_58, whole genome shotgun sequence.
ACCUGGCUGGCUUAGCCAGUGGAGCAUGUGACUCUUGAUCUCAGAGCUGUAGGUUCGAGCCCCACAUUGGGUG